AUACGGAGGGUGCAAGCGUUACUCGGAAUCACUGGGCGUAAAGCGCGCGCAGGCGGGCUGAUAAGUUAGAUGUGAAAGCCUACGGCUCAACCGUAGAACUGCAUCCAAAACUGUCAGUCUAGAGUCUGGGAGGGGAAGAUGGAAUUAGUUGUGUAGGGGUAAAAUCCGUAGAGAUAACUAGGAAUACCAAAAGCGAAGGCGAUCUUCUGGAACAGUACUGACGCUGAGGCGCGAAAGCGUGGGGAGCAAACAGGAUUAGAUACCCUAGUAGUCC
rnacentral:rRNA from 1 species